rnacentral:rRNA from 1 species
AACCGGAGCUAAUACCGGAUAAUAUAUUGAACCGCAUGGUUCAAUAGUGAAAGACGGUUUUGCUGUCACUUAUAGAUGGAUCCGCGCUGCAUUAGCUAGUUGGUAAGGUAACGGCUUACCAAGGCAACGAUGCGUAGCCGACCUGAGAGGGUGAUCGGCCACACUGGAACUGAGACACGGUCCAGACUCCUACGGGAGGCAGCAGCC